UACGGCUACAUCACGUUAAAAUACCGGUGUCCAUACGAUCAGUGAAUUUAAGCAACGUCGUACCUGGUCAGUACCUAGAUGGGUGACUACUUGGGAAUACCAGGUGAUGUAAG